AACGAACGCUGGCGGCAUGCCUAACACAUGCAAGUCGAACGAGACCUUCGGGUCUAGUGGCGCACGGGUGCGUAACGCGUGGGAACCUGCCCUUAGGUUCGGAAUAACUCCCCGAAAGGGGUGCUAAUACCGGAUAAUGUCUUCGGACCAAAGAUUUAUCGCCUUUGGAUGGGCCCGCGUUGGAUUAGCUAGUUGGUAGGGUAAAAGCCUACCAAGGCGACGAUCCAUAGCUGGUCUGAGAGGAUGAUCAGCCACACUGGGACUGAGACACGGCCCAGACUCCUACGGGAGGCAGCAGUGGGGAAUAUUGGACAAUGGGCGAAAGCCUGAUCCAGCAAUGCCGCGUGAGUGGUGAAGGCCUUAGGGUUGUAAAGCUCUCUUACCCGGGAUGAUAAUGACAGUACCGGGAGAAUAAGCUCCGGCUAACUCCGUG
rnacentral:rRNA from 1 species